AUUGAACGCUGGCGGCAGGCCUAACACAUGCAAGUCGAGCGGAGCGGCGGACGGGUGAGUAAUGCAUAGGUAUCUGACUGGUAGUGGGGGAUAAGGUCCGGAAACGGGCGCUAAUACAGAAUACUAUCAGAUGGGCAUAGGCCGGAUUAGCUAGUUGGUGUGGUAAGGUCCUACCAAGGCGACGAUUCGUAACUGGUCUGAGAGGAGGAUCAGUCACAUUGGAACUGAGACAAGGUCCAGACUCCUACGGGAGGCAGCAGUGGCGAAUAUGGGGCAAUGGGCGGAAGCCUGAUCCAGCCAUGCCGCGUGUGUGAAGAAGGUCUUCGGAGGGUAAUGCACGUUAAGUUGGGAGGCGUUACCAACAGAAUAAGCACCGGCUAACUUCGUGCCAGCAGCCGCGGUAAUAC
rnacentral:rRNA from 1 species